rnacentral:rRNA from 1 species
AGACCCGAAACCCGGUGAUCUAGCCAUGGGCAGGUUGAAGGUUGGGUAACACUAACUGGAGGACCGAACCGACUAAUGUUGAAAAAUUAGCGGAUGACCUGUGGCUGGGGGUGAAAGGCCAAUCAAACCGGGAGAUAGCUGGUUCUCCCCGAAAGCUAUUUAGGUAGCGCCUCGUGAAUUCAUCUCCGGGGGUAGAGCACUGUUUCGGCUAGGGGGCCAUCCCGGCUUACCAACCCGAUGCAAACUGCGAAUACCGGAGAAUGUUAUCACGGGAGACACACGGCGGGUGCUAACGUCCGUCGUGAAGAGGGAAACAACCCAGACCGCCAGCUAAGGUCCCAAAGUCAUGGUUAAGUGGGAAACGAUGUGGGAAGGCCCAGACAGCCAGGAUGUUGGCUUAGAAGCAGCCAUCAUUUAAAGAAAGCGUAAUAGCUCACUGGUCGAGUCGGCCUGCGCGGAAGAUGUAACGGGGCUAAACCAUGCACCGAAGCUGCGGCAGCGACGCUGAUGCGUUGUUGGGUAGGGGAGCGUUCUGUAAGCCUGCGAAGGUGUGUCGUGAGGCAUGCUGGAGGUAUCAGAAGUGCGAAUGCUGACAUAAGUAACGAUAAAGCGGGUGAAAAGCCCGCUCGCCGGAAGACCAAGGGUUCCUGUCCAACGUUAAUCGGGGCAGGGUGAGUCGACCCCUAAGGCGAGGCCGAAAGGCGUAGUCGAUGGGAAACGGGUUAAUAUUCCCGUACUUGGUGUUACUGCGAAGGGGGGACGGAGAAGGCUAUGUUGGCCGGGCGACGGUUGUCCCGGUUUAAGCGUGUAGGUGUGUGUUCCAGGUAAAUCCGGUUCACUUUAACACUGAGGCGUGAUGACGAGGCACUACGGUGCUGAAGCAACAAAUGCCCUGCUUCCAGGAAAAGCCUCUAAGCAUCAGGUAACAUCAAAUCGUACCCCAAACCGACACAGGUGGUCAGGUAGAGAAUACCAAGGCGCUUGAGAGAACUCGGGUGAAGGAACUAGGCAAAAUGGUGCCGUAACUUCGGGAGAAGGCACGCUGACACGUAGGUGAAGUGAUUUACUCAUGGAGCUGAAGUCAGUCGAAGAUACCAGCUGGCUGCAACUGUUUAUUAAAAACACAGCACUGUGCAAACACGAAAGUGGACGUAUACGGUGUGACGCCUGCCCGGUGCCGGAAGGUUAAUUGAUGGGGUCAGCGCAAGCGAAGCUCCUGAUCGAAGCCCCGGUAAACGGCGGCCGUAACUAUAACGGUCCUAAGGUAGCGAAAUUCCUUGUCGGGUAAGUUCCGACCUGCACGAAUGGCGUAAUGAUGGCCAGGCUGUCUCCACCCGAGACUCAGUGAAAUUGAACUCGCUGUGAAGAUGCAGUGUACCCGCGGCAAGACGGAAAGACCCCGUGAACCUUUACUAUAGCUUGACACUGAACAUUGAGCCUUGAUGUGUAGGAUAGGUGGGAGGCUUUGAAGUGUGGACGCCAGUCUGCAUGGAGCCGGCCUUGAAAUACCACCCUUUAAUGUUUGAUGUUCUAACGUGGACCCGUGAUCCGGGUUGCGGACAGUGUCUGGUGGGUAGUUUGACUGGGGCGGUCUCCUCCUAAAGAGUAACGGAGGAGCACGAAGGUUGGCUAAUCCUGGUCGGACAUCAGGAGGUUAGUGCAAUGGCAUAAGCCAGCUUGACUGCGAGCGUGACGGCGCGAGCAGGUGCGAAAGCAGGUCAUAGUGAUCCGGUGGUUCUGAAUGGAAGGGCCAUCGCUCAACGGAUAAAAGGUACUCCGGGGAUAACAGGCUGAUACCGC